rnacentral:hammerhead_ribozyme from 1 species
AUUCUGUUGACGAGUCCCAAAUUGAACGAAACGCGUGUCAAACUAGAU